rnacentral:rRNA from 1 species
GCCGCCAUGGUCAUUUAGAGGAAGUAAAAGUCGUAACAAGGUUUCCGUAGGUGAACCUGCGGAAGGAUCAUUAGUGAAAACACAAGUCGGUUGUCUGUGCUGGUGGAAACACAUGUGCACGACGGCCGCAAAUCCACACACCUGUGCACCUUUGACUGUGGGAUUCGCUCGUUGGUUUAUUUCAACUUGCAGCUGAUUGACAUUGCGUUGAUUGGAGUCUCAUGGUAUUUUUUACACACUCUAAAGUAACAGAAUGUAUUUGUGCAUAACGCAUAUAAUAACAACUUUCAACAACGGAUCUCUUGGCUCUCGCACCGAUGAAGAACGCAGCGAAAUGCGAUAAGUAAUGUGAAUUGCAGAAUUCAGUGAAUCAUCGAAUCUUUGAACGCACCUUGCACUCUUUGGUAUUCCGAAGAGUACGCCCGUUUGAGUGUCAUUGUAAUCUCACCUCUACAACUUUGUUGUUGUGGAAAGUGGACUUGGGCCUUGUCAUGUAACAAUGACUGGCUUGAAAUGGAUGAGUGUACCCUGCUGCUGCAGCGUCUUCAGUGUGAUAAGCAUCUUCACUGAUCAAAGUUCCUUUGGAACACGAAUGCAAAGUGGGCUCUGCGCUUCCAACCUGUCUGUUGACAGACAAUAACUUGAACAAUUUGGCCUCAAAUCCGGGUGGGACUACCCGCCUGAAACUUAAGGCAUAUCAAUAAGCGGAGGAAAUCA